rnacentral:rRNA from 1 species
AUUGAACGCUGGCGGCAGGCCUAACACAUGCAAGUCGAGCGGAUGAAGGGAGCUUGCUCCUGGAUUCAGCGGCGGACGGGUGAGUAAUGCCUAGGAAUCAGCCUGGUAGUGGGGGAUAACGUCCGGAAACGGGCGCUAAUACCGCAUACGUCCUGAGGGAGAAAGUGGGGGAUCUUCGGACCUCACGCUAUCAGAUGAGCCUAGGUCGGAUUAGCUAGUUGGUGGGGUAAAGGCCUACCAAGGCGACGAUCCGUAACUGGUCUGAGAGGAUGAUCAGUCACACUGGAACUGAAACACGGUCCAAACUCCUACGGGAGGCAGAAGGGGGAAAUAUUGGAAAAUGGGCGAAAGCCUGAACCAGCCAUGCCGGGUGGGUGAAGAAGGGCUUCGGAUUGUAAAGCACUUUAAGUUGGGGGAAAGGGAAGUAAGUUAAUACCUUGCUGUUUUGACGUUACCAACAGAAAAAGCCCCGGCUAACUUCGU